GUCUAGAAAUUUGGGCAAUGGGCGAAAGCCUGACCCAGCGACGCCGCGUGGAGGAUGAAGUCUUUCGGGAUGUAAACUCCUGUCAGAGGGGACGAUGGUCCGUCUUUGACGGAUUGACGGUACUCUCAAAGGAAGCACCGGCUAACUACGUGCCAGCAGCCGCGGUAAAACGUAGGGUGCAAGCGUUGUCCGGAUUCACUGGGCGUAAAGGGUGUGCAGGCGGACUGGAAAGUCUUCAGUGAAAGCCUAUGGCUUAACCAUAGAAUUGCUGUAGAUACUUCCAGCCUUGGGAAUAGGAAAGGAGGAUGGAACUUUCGGUGUAGCGGUAGAAUGCGUGGAUAUCGAAAGGAACACCAAUGGCGAAGGCAGUCCUCUGGAAUAUCUCCGACGCUGAAACACGAAAGCUGGGGGAGCAAACAGGAUUAGAAACCCGAGUAGUCC
rnacentral:rRNA from 1 species